AGGACCUUUCCUCUGGGAAGACUCCUUUUGUGCGGUGUCGCCCACCUUCAAAGAUGUCAGCAUUUAACCUCUGUAUCUUCUCCCACUGUGGAAGACUUUAGUCCUAAGAGGGAUUACUAUGCGUGUGUCCUCACAGCGAUCCUGAGGAGACCAACUGUUUGUCUGCAGCAUGUGCUUUCGAACUGUGGGGAGAAAAAAAAGAAAAGAAAAAGAGAAACAGUGCUCCCCGUGGAUUUGGCGUGCUGCAGAACACACGUGAACUGGGUAUAGAGAAAACGAUCCAUCACUGAAUGAAGAUGCUGCACAGAAACCUAAUAUACACAGAAUGAGGUGAUCGGAGUCCAUGGUGCCGCGUGUGAGAACGAGCAAAUGUCACGUAUUUCUCGAAGGGGGGAUGCUUUUGAGUUUACUGGAGGCCUUUUCUGUUGCCACAUGAAAUAUAUCACAGAGGCAUGCAACUGAUAAAAGGGUGCAAUGACAUU